rnacentral:lncRNA from 1 species
CAACAAAUAUUUCUUUGACAAUUUUGACAGGCUCUACUGAACAAAAUGAUUUAAUAUUUAGCCAGAAACUUAUUAGUGAUGGCUUUUAAUGUGUGUUUUUUUUCCUGAUUUGCCAAACACAGUCAAGUUUCUGUUUGACAAUAAGUUGCACCUUGAAUUUUGAGCUGUAAUGUGGGAUAUGUGCGCAUUGCAUUUGUGCCAAUUUUUUUUUUACAAAAUCCAAUCUUUAAUUUGCGUCAAAAAAUAUAAUCUACAUCUGCGACAGUAGAAGUUAAGAUAAAGUACGGCAAAAAACACUAUAUUGGUGUAUUUGCAUUGAUUUGUAUGUUUUAUUAUCUAAUCAGUGAUGUUUUUGUAUUUUGAAAAGUUGUUAGUGAUUUGCUCUGUUAUAUUGUUUUUGUAUCAUAUUAAUCAGCUGUGAUAUUUUGUCUAAUACUGAACUGUAAUAAAAGAUAAACAGGG